CGCGUUCAUAAAGAGGCCAGGUU
rnacentral:snRNA from 1 species